CCUACGGGAGGCAGCAGUGGGGAAUAUUGCGCAAUGGGCGAAAGCCUGACGCAGCGACGCCGCGUGAGGGAUGAAGGUCUUCGGAUCGUACACCUCUGUCAGCAGGGAAGAACGGUCACUGUGCUAAUCAGCAGUGAAUUGACGGUACCUGCAAAGGAAGCACCGGCUAACUCCGUGCCAGCAGCCGCGGUAAUACGGAGGGUGCGAGCGUUAAUCGGAAUUACUGGGCGUAAAGCGCUCGUAGGCGGUAUGUCAAGUCAAGGGUGAAAUCCCCGCGCUCAACGUGGGAACUGCCUUUGAAACGGGCAAAAUGGAGUGUGUGAGAGGAUAGUGGAAGUCCAGGGGUAGGAGUGAAAUCCGUAGAUAUCUGGAGGAACAUCAGUGGCGAAGGCGACUAUCUGGCACAUAACUGACGCUGAGGAGCGAAAGCGUGGGUAGCAAACAGGAUGAGAUACCCCAGUAGUC
rnacentral:rRNA from 1 species